UACGAAGGGGGCUAGCGUUGCUCGGAGUGACUAGGCGUAAAGGGCGCGUAGGCGGCUUGCACAGUCAGGCGUGAAAUUCCUGGGCUCAACCUGGGGACUGCGCUUGAGACGUGUGGGCUUGAGUGGGGAAGAGGGUCGUGGAAUUCCCAGUGUAGAGGUGAAAUUCGUAGAUAUUGGGAAGAACACCGGUGGCGAAGGCGGCGACCUGGUCCUUGACUGACGCUGAGGCGCGAAAGCGUGGGGAGCAAACAGG
rnacentral:rRNA from 1 species